GGGUUGUGAGGUUAAGCGACUAAGCGUACACGGUGGAUGCCCUGGCAGUCAGAGGCGAUGAAGGACGUGCUAAUCUGCGAUAAGCGUCGGUAAGGUGAUAUGAACCGUUAUAACCGGCGAUUUCCGAAUGGGGAAACCCAGUGUGAUUCGUCACACUAUCAUUAACUGAAUCCAUAGGUUAAUGAGGCGAACCGGGGGAACUGAAACAUCUAAGUACCCCGAGGAAAAGAAAUCAACCGAGAUUCCCCCAGUAGCGGCGAGCGAACGGGGAGGAGCCCAGAGCCUGAAUCAGUGUGUGUGUUAGUGGAAGCGUCUGGAAAGGCGCGCGAUACAGGGUGACAGCCCCGUACACAAAAAUGCACAUACUGUGAGCUCGAUGAGUAGGGCGGGACACGUGGUAUCCUGUCUGAAUAUGGGGGGACCAUCCUCCAAGGCUAAAUACUCCUGACUGACCGAUAGUGAACCAGUACCGUGAGGGAAAGGCGAAAAGAACCCCGGCGAGGGGAGUGAAAAAGAACCUGAAACCGUGUACGUACAAGCAGUGGGAGCCUCUUUAUGGGGUGACUGCGUACCUUUUGUAUAAUGGGUCAGCGACUUAUAUUCUGUAGCAAGGUUAACCGAAUAGGGGAGCCGAAGGGAAACCGAGUCUUAACUGGGCGUUAAGUUGCAGGGUAUAGACCCGAAACCCGGUGAUCUAGCCAUGGGCAGGUUGAAGGUUGGGUAACACUAACUGGAGGACCGAACCGACUAAUGUUGAAAAAUUAGCGGAUGACUUGUGGCUGGGGGUGAAAGGCCAAUCAAACCGGGAGAUAGCUGGUUCUCCCCGAAAGCUAUUUAGGUAGCGCCUCGUGAAUUCAUCUCCGGGGGUAGAGCACUGUUUCGGCAAGGGGGUCAUCCCGACUUACCAACCCGAUGCAAACUGCGAAUACCGGAGAAUGUUAUCACGGGAGACACACGGCGGGUGCUAACGUCCGUCGUGAAGAGGGAAACAACCCAGACCGCCAGCUAAGGUCCCAAAGUCAUGGUUAAGUGGGAAACGAUGUGGGAAGGCCCAGACAGCCAGGAUGUUGGCUUAGAAGCAGCCAUCAUUUAAAGAAAGCGUAAUAGCUCACUGGUCGAGUCGGCCUGCGCGGAAGAUGUAACGGGGCUAAACCAUGCACCGAAGCUGCGGCAGCGACACUAUGUGUUGUUGGGUAGGGGAGCGUUCUGUAAGCCUGUGAAGGUGU
rnacentral:rRNA from 1 species